rnacentral:lncRNA from 1 species
AGCCACUGAGGAUCCUGGUAAGCAGCAGAUAGAAGUAGUUGAGCAGGAGCUCAUUGAAGGCAAGUUGUGCCCUUGAUCACUUCUUUUACCUAUUCAUGUUCUUAUUAAUCAUAAUGAUCUACAUAGGUUAAUUUUGAUGGGACCCAAUAGGUUACCCUAGAUUUUGACUAUCUUUAUACCUUGUUUCACCACUGGUUUUACUACUAAACUUUUGGGUAGUAUAUGCUAUUGCUUUAUGUGGCUUUGGGUAUAGAGAUAUUCAUCACUCAUUUUUAUACUUGUUAUUAUCUAUUCAUUAUUUUAUGUUCAUGAUAAGAUCAUUAUGUUAAUGGGAACAUGGAGAACCACCCGGGAAAACAGUGCUACCACAGGGGUUUAAUGGGACGCCCUUGGCUGAUUAACUAGGAAAGCUAGUGGAUGGCUAUCUUAUCUGAAAGGGGCAAGGGCAGUAGGGGAGUGGUCAGUGUAGGGAGGUACUUGGGUUGAUUUUGCUGCGAUGGCGGUCAGGCUAGGGAUUCCUGCACUGGAGCUUCCUAUAAACUGUAGCGGGUAGUCUGAAGCUAGUGGAACUUUCUAAAGGCCUCGUAGUGGUACCCUGCCUCGCUUCCUUGGUAGAGGUGUAUGGGGUCUGAUCAACUCCAUGGCAAAUGGGUAACACGACUUGUGGGUAAAGAUGCGCAACCUCUGCAGAGUGUAAAACUGGUAUACUAGCCGUGCUCACGGUCAUGAGCGGCUCGGACACUCACAUGAUUAAUUUAUGGAACUUAAACUUAAUUUGUCAUUUCAUUGCAUUUGGGAUUAUUUUACUAUUACUUUUAUUUAUUAUUACUAUGGUUUGGUAUUUACUUACACUUAGUAAUUGCUAAUAAAAUUUUGACCAACUUAUAAAAGCAAUGCUCAGCUUCAGCCUUUAUUUCAUUGAUCAGCCUUACACUUCAUGAACUCUCACCUUUGGUGAGUUCAUGUCACAUUAUUCUCCAUGACUUGUUGAGCUAUGAUCGUAUGUGAGUUCACUCUUGCUGUCUCACACCCCCAUACAGGAGAAGAACAAGUUGUCGAAGAGGAGCCGCCUAACACUGAGGCUUUCGACUUGAUCUAGGUGGCCUCUCCCAGUCAGCUUUCUGGCGCCAAUGAUAGAUUUUAGUUCCUGCUUUAUUCAUCUUUUAUUUUGUAAGACUUCCGCUAUGUAAUAAGUAC